ensembl:snRNA U6 U6 spliceosomal RNA
GUGCUUGCUCCAACAGCACUUAUGAUAAAAUUGGAACCAUGCAGAGAAGAUCAGCAUGGCCCCUGCACAAAAUGACACGUAAAUUCAUGAAGCAUUCCCUGCUUUU